rnacentral:rRNA from 1 species
AUUGAACGCUGGCGGCAGGCCUAACACAUGCCAGUCGAGCGGAUGAAGGGAGCUUGCUCCUGGAUUCAGCGGCGGACGGGUGAGUAAUGCCUAGGAAUCUGCCUGGUAGUGGGGGAUAACGUCCGGAAACGGGCGCUAAUACCGCAUACGUCCUAAGGGAGAAAGUGGGGGAUCUUCGGACCUCACGCUAUCAGAUGAGCCUAGGUCGGAUUAGCUAGUUGGUGGGGUAAAGGCCUACCAAGGCGACGAUCCGUAACUGGUCUGAGAGGAUGAUCAGUCACACUGGAACUGAGACACGGUCCAGACUCCUACGGGAGGCAGCAGUGGGGAAUAUUGGACAAUGGGCGAAAGCCUGAUCCAGCCAUGCCGCGUGUGUGAAGAAGGUCUUCGGAUUGUAAAGCACUUUAAGUUGGGAGGAAGGGCAGUAAGUUAAUACCUUGCUGUUUUGACGUUACCAACAGAAUAAGCACCGGCUAACUUCGUG